CCUGGUGCUGUGGGCGCAAUGGAACCACACCGAUUCCAUCCCGAACUCGGUGGUGAAACGUUGCUGCGGCGAAGAUACUUGGCGGGUUGCUGCCUGGGACAAUAGCAAGGUGCCAGGG
rnacentral:rRNA from 1 species